rnacentral:rRNA from 1 species
UAGGGAAUCUUCGGCAAUGGGGGGAACCCUGACCGAGCAACGCCGCGUGAGUGAAGAAGGUUUUCGGAUCGUAAAGCUCUGUUGUUAAGGAAGAACGAGUGUGAGAAUGGAAAGUUCAUGCUGUGACGGUACUUAACCAGAAAGGGACGGCUAACUACGUGCCAGCAGCCGCGGUAAUACGUAGGUCCAGAGCGUUGUCCGGAUUUAUUGGGCGUAAAGCGAGCGCAGGCGGUUAGAAAAGUCUGAAGUGAAAGGCAGUGGCUCAACCAUUGUAGGCUUUGGAAACUGUUUAACUUGAGUGCAGAAGGGGAGAGUGGAAUUCCAUGUGUAGCGGUGAAAUGCGUAGAUAUAUGGAGGAACACCGGUGGCGAAAGCGGCUCUCUGGUCUGUAACUGACGCUGAGGCUCGAAAGCGUGGGGAGCGAACAGG